rnacentral:rRNA from 1 species
GGGAAUCUACCCAUUUCUGCGGAAUAGCUCUGGGAAACUGGAAUUAAUACCGCAUACGCCCUACGGGGGAAAGAUUUAUCGGGGAUGGAUGAGCCCGCGUUGGAUUAGCUAGUUGGUGGGGUAAAGGCCUACCAAGGCGACGAUCCAUAGCUGGUCUGAGAGGAUGAUCAGCCACAUUGGGACUGAGACACGGCCCGAACUCCUACGGGAGGCAGCAGUGGGGAAUAUUGGACAAUGGGCGCAAGCCUGAUCCAGCCAUGCCGCGUGAGUGAUGAAGGCCUUAGGGUUGUAAAGCUCUUUCACCGGUGAAGAUAAUGACGGUAACCGGAGAAGAAGCCCCGGCUAACUUCGUGCCAGCAGCCGCGGUAAUACGAAGGGGGCUAGCGUUGUUCGGAAUUACUGGGCGUAAAGCGCACGUAGGCGGAUAUUUAAGUCAGGGGUGAAAUCCCAGAGCUCAACUCUGGAACUGCCUUUGAUACUGGGUAUCUUGAGUAUGGAAGAGGUAAGUGGAAUUGCGAGU